rnacentral:lncRNA from 1 species
UUCAUUUUUCACUUCCUCCUCCAAUGAUUUCACUCUCCUUUUGAGUUUGUCCUGCGAAAGCACGGAAGCAACCGAUGUUGAAACUAUGAGGUAAGAAUCUAGUGCUGCAAACUGCUUGAGAUAGUCUUGCUGAAUUUCUUACAUUGAGUUGGCCUUCCGCCUUCGCAGACCUCUCGGCUAUGGUUAUCUUGUCAUGCAGCCGCUUUAUCUCUCCCUGGAUGAUCGGUAUGUCAUGGUUAAAUUCAGGUAUGGAACUGCAACAGCAUUACAGGUGCAUCGAUCGCUCCAUCUUUUCUGUACCUGCAGGAGCCUUCGUUCUUCCAGCCAUCUCUUGACUGGCAUCAGUUUGUCAGCAUCAUCCUUCCAUUCGUUUGCCGUUGUCGUUGCCACACGGUUGACAUAGAC